rnacentral:rRNA from 1 species
GCGGCGGCAUGCCUUACACCUGCAAGUCGAACGGCAGCGGGGAGAAGCUUGCUUCUCCUGCCGGCGAGUGGCGAACGGGUGAGUAAUACAUCGGAACGUGCCCUGUAGUGGGGGAUAACUAGUCGAAAGAUUAGCUAAUACCGCAUACGACCUGAGGGUGGAAGUGGGGGACCGCAAGGCCUCAUGCUAUAGGAGCGGCCGAUGUCUGAUUAGCUAGUUGGUGGGGUAAAGGCCCACCAAGGCGACGAUCAGUAGCUGGUCUGAGAGGACGAUCAGCCACACUGGGACUGAGACACGGCCCAGACUCCUACGGGAGGCAGCAGUGGGGAAUUUUGGACAAUGGGCGAAAGCCUGAUCCAGCAAUGCCGCGUGUGUGAAGAAGGCCUUCGGGUUGUAAAGCACUUUUGUCCGGAAAGAAAUGGCUCUGGUUAAUACCUGGGGUCGAUGACGGUACCGGAAGAAUAAGGACCGGCUAACUACGUGCCAGCAGCCGCGGUAAUACGUAGGGUCCAAGCGUUAAUCGGAAUUACUGGGCGUAAAGCGUGCGCAGGCGGUUGUGCAAGACCGAUGUGAAAUCCCCGAGCUUAACUUGGGAAUUGCAUUGGUGACUGCACGGCUAGAGUGUGUCAGAGGGGGGUAGAAUUCCACGUGUAGCAGUGAAAUGCGUAGAGAUGUGGAGGAAUACCGAUGGCGAAGGCAGCCCCCUGGGAUAACACUGACGCUCAUGCACGAAAGCGUGGGGAGCAAACAGGAUUAGAUACCCUGGUAGUCCACGCCCUAAACGAUGUCAACUAGUUGUUGGGGAUUCAUUUCCUUAGUAACGUAGCUAACGCGUGAAGUUGACCGCCUGGGGAGUACGGUCGCAAGAUUAAAACUCAAAGGAAUUGACGGGGACCCGCACAAGCGGUGGAUGAUGUGGAUUAAUUCGAUGCAACGCGAAAAACCUUACCUACCCUUGACAUGCCACUAACGAAGCAGAGAUGCAUUAGGUGCUCGAAAGAGAAAGUGGA